UGAGGUCGACACCAAUAAAAGCAUUAAAGGCAGAAGUAGGAGAAGCACCACUCGAUCUGAGGAGAGCUAAACUUAUGCUUACAUAUUGGAGCCGUCUACAUGGGUGUGGUAAUGAAAACCCUUCCAAGAGUGUUAUUCAAGAAUGUUGGGAAUACAAUAAAUUUCAAGGUAAUGGAUUUGGUUGGAUGACAAAGACUAAGUCACACGAAUAUAGGCUGGAAAACAUUCGGUUCAGCACUCCUACGCCUAUUAGUAAUGUCGCUCCCUGGUUCUUCCCGAGACCUGGAAUAGAAGUAUUUUAGAGUUAAAGAAAGAAUGGCAAGAGAGUGAGAUUGGAAUUCUAGCAAGUCAAUAUGUAAGGCACAAAUAUGAUUAUUAUUUAGAUAUAUACACAGAUGGGUCUAAGGAUGAAAAUGAGAGAGUGGGCAUAGGAAUACAUAUACCCUCAAUGAAUAUCAAUAAUAUAGAUGGGACAGGGAUAACAACGGAAGGAAAUAUUGCAGGGUACAGAAGUCCAUUACAGCACAAGGAGUAUAUAGAGGCAACAGAAGGGAAGAAACUGUAUUAACAAGAUUAAGGUUUUAUUAUUAUUAUUAUUAUUAUUAUUAUUAUUAUUAUUAUUAUUAUUAUUAUUAUUAUUAUUAAUUAAUUUAUUUAUUUAUUUUUUCUUUUUUUAUUACCUCAAUGACAUAAAGGAACUAGUAACCCAUGCUACAUACUCCGGUACAGUAGGUGGCGGUAUGCACCAAAUAAGCUAUGGUUGCAACCCGCCAGAAAACCAAAAGAAGAAGAAGAAGAAGAAGAAGAGGAGGACGAAGAAGAAGAACGCCCAUUUUGCUCACACAGUCUGGGAACCGACGUGACUUAAAAUAUUAACACAAGGGGACUGAAAGCUGCAAUGGAAGGGUAAUUGUCUAUUUUAAAGAGUGUAUUUUUUACAGCUGUGCGUAUGAAAAAGACGGUAGCAGUUGUCCUCAUUGUAAAUACACCAUAUCCCAAGUGUAAGCUAAAAUGCGAUCCUUUAUACUGUAUAAGACAAAGAGCAUGACGGUUGACAGCUAACAGCAGGAAGUCCUAGACUUAAGCUAAAAAGUGUUUGUUAAGUGUUGUUUAAAUAACAUGGUAUAGUAGGUUUAUGAUGGACCGUGACUCAAAAGCAAAUUUUAUUUAUUAUCGAGUUUUUGUAUUAUUGCCAGGUCAGCCCGUUAUGGGCAAAAUUAGCAUAUAUUAAUAUUGAUCCACUCUAUCCACCUUUAUGUAGUAGCAGAUUACUGAAGCUCAAUUGUAUAACAUGUUGGUUUUAUUUCCGAUUAUGUUUAGUGCAAAGAAGGCAAUCGUAUCAAAAUCAAUGUCAACAUGGCACAUGCACCUGCAUUUUACGAAGACUCUCUUUGUCUGUCGCAAAGGCGGUUUUAGGAUCAGACUACCUGGGGUGCCCAGCCCUGUAAGACCACAUGAUCUGCAAUUGUUCAGUCUGACUGCUUUAACCACUGAUUUUACCAACCACAAAAGAAUAUUCUCUGGCAUGUGGUUUUUAACAACAGCAAUACUUAAGAUCAGAGUAUGAGGCCACAUUUAAGUUUUUGUUUGUUUGUAUUUUGAAGAUUUUGGAAAACAAAGGUUAUGUUUUGAGGAUAAAGUUGGAAGAAAAUCAAGUUGUGAUGUUACAAGAAGAAAGUCAUCUUGUGUUGAGAACAAAGUUAUUGUAAAUUCAUAAUAUAAUGAUAGUAGAGUUAUCUUUUUUGUGAGAAUAAGGUGGUGUCAGCUGUCUGUACCAGGAUAAGGAAUGUUGAGCGUCUGGUUAAAUUUCUAAUGUUUAUGCUCCUCAGCACCACAUAGUAAUAAGAAUCAGGACUCUGAAAAGACUAAGCAAAAAGCUGAGCCCUGUGGUAUCAACACAGUAUAAUGUGGCUAAUCAUCGACUAAAUUAACAAAUUUAUUUUUAUAAAAACAUGACUUUGGUACCGCAAUAUUUUGACUUUAUGUCUUUUUUUAAUUACAAUGUGACUUUAACCUUGUCAUAACUUUUUUUCCUCAUAAUAGUAUCAUUUAUUGCAACUUUAUUCUCAUAAUUUUUUAGUUCAUUAUGAUUUUGUUCGUAAAACAAUGUCAUUUUAUCCUUGUAACACUAACUAGAUUUUUCCAUGGCUUUAUUAAAGUAAAAAGUUAAGAAUUUUAUUUCACCAUGUAUCAGAGGAUACCAGGAGUAUGCAUUCAAAUGGGCAUAUUCUCUGGUGUACUUGUCUACAUUAACCUGUUUGGGUCAUACAGAUAAAAGUCCAGAUAAAAAGUAUUAUGAUUUCAAUCUAUAUUUUUUACUCAUUUUGUCUUGAGAACACCAGUUUGUAUAGUCAAAUAAGAUACUUAACCACAAGUUUAAGUGGUAGGUUAUGGAGAAUACUAAUGAUAUCAAAUAAAUCUCAAAUGUGAAAACAUUUUCAACAUUUGCUUUAUUGCAUAGACUGAACAGCAGCAGCAGAUCCACUGUUCGAUGUCAGGCAUACCUGAUUGCACUCAUCUAAGCCCCAAUCUUGAGGGAAAUCCCUCAUGUGGAGCCUUGUUCAGUAACGGGCUGCUCAGAAACGCCCUCUUCCUACCUUCGGCCACGUUUGUUUUUUAUUCUGCUCUGUUUGGGCUAUGGCUGCGAGUCCGUCGCUUGUUCUUAUGUCAUCAGCUUGCAUUUAUCAUAUUUAUCAUAAAAUGGCAAACAUUUAUUAUGGAGGAUUUUUCUGAGGAUAUAUCGUUAACGAUACCUUACCACCCA